CUAAACAUCUUUCAGCACUGUGUUCUGAGCCAAAAAAAAAGCCUUUGCUGCUUCUUGGCAGGAGCCUCCUUCUUCGUGUUUGGUGCCAUUCUGAACAUCCUAUCAGUAAGGGACUUCUUUUGUGCACAUAAAACCUUGUUGGCAAUUGCUACUGUUAUCGUAUCACAGAGAGACCUCACCUUCCAAACCAGGGAUCUGGUUGGCAGAAGAGGAGGACCUGACCAAAACAGAACCUACUUCCUCCAACUCUCCCAUACAAGAGACCAGAACAGGUUCAAGGGCUGAGCCGGAAGCACUCAGGAAAAAGAAACCCAGCGAGAACAGGUGCAGAGGUUACAGCUCAUGUCACUUCCACUUUGUCUGGAUGAUGAAAUGGAUUGGCCUGCGAUUGUAACCUCUGUUCACCCUCUGGGAAAAUGCCUUCCCUGUUCUAGAUGACAGCAUGUAGAACUUCUCCUCUGAGUCAGCCAAAACUCCUCAAAACUACAGAUUAAAAUGAACUUCGUAAAAGUGUGGUGGUGGCCGAUGAGCCACAUCCCAAGGGACUGAUGAGUUGCUGCUUGGCCUCC